GUUCAGAUGUGAUGAGUUUAACUCAUUUUGCCUUCAUCUGAAUGGAUUAAGUGUAAAUGAAACACACUUCAGUUUGUUGUUAUGAUGCACAAUUUCUUCUUUCCAGCUAAAAGCUGAAGAGGCCCGAAUGACUCUUCGAUUGGAACCGUGUUUUCUCUCUCUCUCUCGCCCUGUCUUUCCUCAUUUCUGUCGCUCUCUGGCCAUCUGCUGUGUAAGUGCAGCACUAUUGAUCAGAAUCAAUGCGCCUCGGACCCCAUGAUGCUGCCGUUACCGUCGCGCGCUGCAUCUGUUCGGGGCGCGCGCAGAGAUCCUGCGGCUCACGGAGCCGUGACCUUUAACCCUUGACACAUUCACCUCAUUGUGUCCAUGAAAGAGAGGAGCAAACACGCAUGGACGACACCACUGAUACCUCACGCUGAAACCCUCCUCUUAUAUAUGUAUAAAACCUAAUAAAUUGAAUAUAUGUCUAAAUGAA